rnacentral:ribozyme from 1 species
GUUUCUCUCCUUUUUUUUUUUUUUGGUUUUCUUUUUCUUCUUCUCACGAGAAGAAGACGGGAAGGGAAAGAAGAGAGAGAAGAGAGAGAGAAGAGCGAAAGGAA